GGCCUCUAAGGCUGAGAUCUCAUCCACUAGCUGGUCCUCAAGGCUUUGUAGCUGCGGAGAUUGCUCGUCCCAUCCUCUAAGAGACUGAACCUCCUUCAUCUGCAUCACCUUGGAAGCUCCCUCCAUAAGUAAAUCGAGGCUGAUUUCCCUAAGAUCUCACCAGGAGUAAUUGCCAAAGCUGGAAUCGAAUUCCUGUUGCAAUUUGACUCUAGAGCCUAAGCUCCUAACAGCUGGUAUAUACUGUCUCUCAUGCUAACAGCUAGUGUCCAGAGAGAGGGCACACAUGGUCCCGGGGAAUCCUCACAGCCACCCCAGGAAGAAGAAUGACGACAGCACCCAUUAAAGCAGACAACUGAGGCUCAUGGAGGUGAAGACACUCAGCUCACACAGCUGGUCCAUGGUUGAGCAAGGAGUAGAGUGAAUGAUACCUAAUCUUCUGAAUCCAAAUCCACAUCUUAAUCUCUCCUCACACUGCUUCCUUCCCAUUUGACUGAUGGAGAAACUGAGGCCCUGAGGAAAAUCAAAGCUGGAAUUCAGAUCCAGAUCCAUGAGACCCAGUAGAGCACCCCCUAUACCACAUUGCCUCCAAGAAUUCGGUGUCUAGUAGAUCCUGUGUUUGGACAUGACUGAAGUGACUAAGCACACACAGCACAGAUCCUAUGUUAGAUGAGGUGAAAAGUCUUCUCAGCCAACCAGCCUUGUCUGUAAGCAGUGAGGUCAUCUGGUCCCAAAUUUGGCCCUAAAGGUGGUUGGGAGACUAUUUCACAGCCUUGGAAUCUUUGGCGGCUUCUCACUGAGAAGCCUGUAAUCAUAAUUGUGACAAUUUAUUGAACACUUUUUAUGAGCCAGGUGAGGUGGAAAGCAUUCUGCAUGUAUCACCUCACUAAAUCCUUUUAAUUCUAGGGUAUAGGAAUUGUUAUUGUCCCCAUUUUACAGGUAAGGAAACUGAGACCCUGGGAUGGAUGAAACAUUUCUAUGCUUACAGAGCUAGUGAAUCAUGGAGCCUGAAUUGGAACCCAGCGCUUACUCAAGCCCUCAAUUCCAGCUACUCAGCACGUGCAAGCAUGAGAAGAUGGAGCGAGGGACCCUGAGUUCUGGCAAGAUGGAAUAGGAAGGGUUGUUGGCUUCAUUCUGGAAGUCGUAUUAUAAGAUUAGAAGAGUCAGCUGGCUGAGAUGAGUAGAGAAAUACCUAUGGCUUAUGGAACAGCGAUCCCAUGCCAGGUCCUAUGCUAACUACACUUGAUUUAUGUUGAGAAGCAGAGAACCUUGUGGUUAAGAAGCUGGACACUGGAUCCAGUCUCCCUGGAUUCAUGUUCUGGCCUUGCUACUUGCUAGUUCUGAGACCUUUAGCCGGUUACUUAACCAGUCUUGGCCUCAAUUUCCUCAUCUGUAA
ensembl:lncRNA